UAGCCUGUCCUUACAGUAAUCAGUUGAAUGC
rnacentral:piRNA from 1 species